AUUGAACGCUGGCGGCAGGCCUAACACAUGCAAGUCGAACGCGUGGCGGACGGGUGAGUAAUGUCUGGGAAACUGCCUGAUGGAGGGGGAUCACUACUGGAAACGGUAGCUAAUACCGCAUCCCAUCGGAUGUGCCCAGAUGGGAUUAGCUAGUAGGUGGGGUAAAGGCUCACCUAGGCGACGAUCCCUAGCUGGUCUGAGAGGAUGACAAGCCAUACGUGAAAUGAGCCACGGUCCAGACUCCUACGGGAGGCAGCAGUGGGGAAUAUUGCACAAUGGGCGCAAGCCUGAUGCAGCCAUGCCGCGUGUAUGAAGAAGGCCUUCGGGUUGUAAAGUACUUUCAGCGGGGAGGCGUUACCCGCAGAAGAAGCACCGGCUAACUCCGGGCCAGCAGCCGCGGUAAUUC
rnacentral:rRNA from 1 species